AUAAUUUUCCUAUUGUUCAUGGCACCUCCAACAUUCAGUAAGUAAAUGACAUGGUGGACUCUCCUUCAACCACUCAGGUGCGUGUCUUCUCCUGUUGUCUUGACUGAUGAGCCUCCUCCUAUUUCUUCUCCCUCCCCACCAAAUACAAUAAGCAACCCACUAGAAUCCUUCCCUGUCUCCACUACUUCUCCAUCACCUGAACCUAUCACUCCUAGUCGAACUCACACUAUGACUACCUGGUCCAUGUAUAAUAUAUACAAACCAAAACAACUUCACUCCACUAUCAAACAUUUUGUACCCACCUUACAGGAGCCUACUUAUGUCACUCAAGAAAUGAAGGAUUUGAACUGGCGAAAUGCUUUAUCUG
rnacentral:misc_RNA from 1 species